rnacentral:tRNA from 1 species
GACCCCAUCGUCUAGAGGCCUAGGACUCCAGGUUUUCAUCCUGGCAACACGGGUUCGAUUCCCGUUGGGGUCGCCA